rnacentral:rRNA from 1 species
GAUGAACGCUGGCGGCGUGCCUAAUACAUGCAAGUCGAGCGAACAGAUAAGGAGCUUGCUCCUUUGACGUUAGCGGCGGACAGGUGAGUAACACGUGGGUAACCUACCUAUAAGACUGGGAUAACUUCGGGAAACCGGAGCUAAUACCGGAUAAUAUUUCGAACCGCAUGGUUCGAUAGUGAAAGAUGGUUUUGCUAUCACUUAUAGAUGGACCCGCGCCGUAUUAGCUAGUUGGUAAGGUAACGGCUUACCAAGGCGACGAUACGUAGCCGACCUGAGAGGGUGAUCGGCCACACUGGAACUGAGACACGGUCCAGACUCCUACGGGAGGCAGCAGUAGGGAAUCUUCCGCAAUGGGCGAAAGCCUGACGGAGCAACGCCGCGUGAGUGAUGAAGGUCUUCGGAUCGUAAAACUCUGUUAUUAGGGAAGAACAUACGUGUAAGUAACUGUGCACGUCUUGACGGUACCUAAUCAGAAAGCCACGGCUAACUACGUG